rnacentral:lncRNA from 1 species
GAAUCCCCCACUGGGAAAGAAGUGGUUGCAGCUGUUUCAUCUCUCAGUAGCCAUGAAGUAUGGAGAUGGAGCACACCCUGUGCAAUCAUGCCAGCUGACCCUCACACAGAUGAUUGAACCACUUGGAAGCUUUUUGCCACAUUCCUGGUGAGAUUCCAAAUACCACUGGGACCAAAGGCCUCAACAUUUCCUCCUCCAUGCCAGUCAGCUUGACUCAAGCCUUAUCAAGAACCCACAAUUCCUGAGCACCACUCCCAGUGCCAAGGAGCAGAGCCGCCCGCAGCACUGAGGAGGAGCCCUUCUGGGUCACCAUACCACCACCCCCAGUGUUGAGGAGCAGAGCUGCUUCCAGCCCUGAGGAGGAGAUGUUCAGGCCACCAUACCACCACCCCCAGUGCUGAGGAGGUGAGCCACCUGGGUGUCAGCAUCACAAAAUUGCCCUCCCCGCUGAAAUGAGAAGACAUGUAAACAAAUGUCAAAACCAGACUUCCAGAUCAACUAAAGCAACCCCAAAGGGAAAUGAGAUGGAACAAUCUGAUACUCAACCACCUGGACUCCCCGAACUGGCAAUGAAAGAG